CCUGGAGUCAAGCAAGCCUCCCACAUCAGCCUCCUGAGUAGAUUGGAGACCUGUUGUGUGUUACCUUUGGAAGGUUUUCCACAGUUGAGAUCCAGUUGCUCCAGCAUCAUUUGUUGAGUGGUCUCUCUUCAUCCACAGAGCUCCAGAGUGUCUCCUCUUACAGGACUUCUACACGUUGGGCACAAAUUUCAGCAUGGCGUUAAGAAGAACUAAAUAGUCAAUGGCAUUUUAAAGAAAGAUGAAGGGAUCAAGGCUGAGGUACAUUCAAACCCAGUUAUAACAUGAUCUCCAGGAACUGCACAGGAGGAAGCUGUCUCCACCAGGAGCUGGAUCAGAUGCUGCUCGCUGUCUACCUAUUGUUGACGUCCUCCUUCCCACGUGGAUGCAACGUGAGCAGUCAGAAAGUCAAACUUCACGGAACGACAGAGGUGCCAAAACGGCAACUCCACCACCUGUCCGAAGAUCUAAGAGAACACCAGCUGUCUGACAGUGGCUUGAACAUUAUACAUUCAGCUUUUCACUUACAAAUAUAGCUGUGAAUUCACAGGGAGUAAUCCUACGUGCUGGAUCUCAUUCUCAAGUGGGAAAAUUCUAUAGAAAAACUGAUGUCAAAUUAGCCAUUUGUGGUGGUUGCUGAAGAAGACACACCAAGUCAGAUGCUCCUGACUAAGCAAGGCGAUACCCUCCAACUGAGCAUGGAAGCCCUACUGCAAUAGGAGGGCCUUCAUCAUCCACACUGGUUAGCACUUGCCACUUCUUGCUGCCAUUGCCUCUCAUACAAGAAAGUCAAGCCAGUGUAGAUCAAAAAUAAUAACAAUAAAAAUAAAAAAAUAAAAAGGUUUACCUAAUUUUAUUCAGAAGCUUUAUUAAAGAUUUUUUUUGUAUUAUCU
rnacentral:lncRNA from 1 species